CAGCAGCCGCGGGAAUACGUAGGGUGCGAGCGUUAAUCGGAAUUACUGGGCGUAAAGCGUGCGUAGGCGGUUUGUUAAGUCUGCUGUGAAAUCCCCGGGCUCAACCUGGGAAUGGCAGUGGAUACUGGCAAGCUAGAGUGUGUCAGAGGAUGGUGGAAUUCCCGGUGUAGCGGUGAAAUGCGUAGAGAUCGGGAGGAACAUCAGUGGCGAAGGCGGCCAUCUGGGACAACACUGACGCUGAGGCACGAAAGCGUGGGGAGCAAACAGGAUUAGAUACCCCGGUAGUCCCUGUCUCUUAUAC
rnacentral:rRNA from 1 species